rnacentral:rRNA from 1 species
ACACGUAGGGGCCUGACGUUGUUCGGAAUCAUUGGGCGUAAAGGGCGCGCAGGCGGCCGUCCAAGUCCGGUGUUAAAUGGUCGGGCUCAACCCGAUCAUGCGCUGGAAACUGGGCGGCUUGAGUCCCGUAGGGGAUGCCGGAAUUCCAGGUGUAGGGGUGAAAUCUGUAGAUAUCUGGAAGAACACCGAUGGCGAAGGCAGGCAUCUGGCCGGAGACUGACGCUGAGGCGCGAAGGCGCGGGGAGCGAACAGGUUUAGAUACCCUGGUAGCCCGCGCAGUAAACGAUGCGCACCAGGUGUCGGGCGGCAGCGCCCGGUACCGGAGCUAACGCGAUGAGUGCGCCGCCUGGGGAGUAUGCCCGCAAGGGUGAAACUCAAAUGAAUUGGCGGGG